rnacentral:lncRNA from 1 species
CGCUGUUCUGCACGGAUCUCACUCCUUCCUGCCAGUCCCAGUGCAGGGAACUCGAGCUGAACUUGAUCCCUUUGCAGUUCAAAGGUGAGCAAGUCAAGCUCCGAGCACAGUCGGCGUUGGCCCGGCGAAAGCGCACGGCCGGGCUCCCCCAAUGGCAAUUAACAACGUUGCCCAAUUUUGUCCGGAUUUCCGAAGAAAAGCCAAAGGCGGGGGUUGGGGGGAGUAGAGGGAGAGGUGGAGUCCAGAGACAGCUGCCAAGUAGCUUAAAAAAAAAAAAAUCCAGUUUGCCAAGGGGAGAAAAAGUGCCAGUCGGCUGUUGUCUCGAAGUGCCCUGGCACGGCGGGUGAAUUCCGCAGUUGUCUUGUCCGCUUUCGCGUCUAAGAGAGUCUGGUGGGGGCGCUCCCGCCGCCUCUCCGGCUGCCUCGACUGGGAGACACUGAACCACAACUGGAAAGCUCUUACUCUCUACCCACGAGCCAGAAAUGCGCAAGUUUGCCUAAAGUGGUGGCUGCUGCUGAAGGUUCGCUUGCUGGCGACUCAGACUUGUCCCUCACGCUGCUGCUGAGGCGGCGGCAGCGGUAGGAGCCCCAACGCCGAAACUACACACUCGCAGCGAGCGUGGGAGGAGGGCCCAGCAAAAGGAGGCGGGAGGGAGCACCAGCCAUCCGCUGCGCUCCGUAAAGCCCAGCUUCAGCUCAGAAGCCGCUUGGAGAGUGCCCAAUCUCAACAUCUUUAAGUCAAAGCCUAGUCCCCGCAACUAGUACAGUCGCUUGUUCUCUGGGAGUGGGACGGGGGGCGGGGGCAAACAUGCUUUCCUUCCCUCGCGCUGGUAAAUUUCCUCCUCCUGAUCUCUCACAUGAGUGCCUAUGAGAGAUUUGGAUCAGGUAUUAGGACACCUUUCUCUUUCGUUUCUCCCCUUUCAGAAGAUUUUCUACUCUCCCACAAAAGUGUCUCUGAGCAAUUUACCAUUUGGAUUAGGGCACGGUUACUGGCGGGUUGGGGAGCGUACGUGCGUCCACAAAGCAACGCUGGUGUUCUGAAAAUCCGUGAUGGGCUGCAGUAGUGACGAGAGAACCUCAAAC